CCUACGUGAGGCAGCAGUGAGGAAUAUUGGUCAAUGGGCGCGAGCCUGAACCAGCCAAGUAGCGUGAAGGAUGACUGCCCUACGGGUUGUAAACUUCUUUUAUAAAGGAAUAAAGUGAGGCACGUGUGCCUUUUUGUAUGUACUUUAUGAAUAAGGAUCGGCUAACUCCGUGCCAGCAGCCGCGGUAAUACGGAGGAUCCGAGCGUUAUCCGGAUUUAUUGGGUUUUAAGGGAGCGUAGAUGGGUUGUUAAGUCAGUUGUGAAAGUUUGCGGCUCAACCGUAAAAUUGCAAUUGAUACUGGCAGUCUUGAGUACAGUUGAGGUAGGCGGAAUUCGUGGUGUAGCGGUGAAAUGCUUAGAUAUCACGAAGAACUCCGAUUGCGAAGGCAGCUUACUAAACUGCCACUGACAUUGAUGCUCGAAAGUGUGGGUAUCAAACAGGAUUAGAUACCCCAGUAGGC
rnacentral:rRNA from 1 species